CGGAAGGAUCAUUAACGAGAGCAAGGGUUUAUUCGGCCCUUGGGCUUCGCGGCCUACACUCUUCACCCUAUGUGUAUCAACUUUGUUGCUUUGGCGGGUCCCGGAGCUCGCUCCGGCGCCCAUCUAGGCCUGCUCUAGACACGCGUUGGCUCGCCAGAGACCUUUCAAAACCUAUCGCACGAGUGUAGUCUGAGCUAUAAAGCAAAUCAAUCAAAACUUUCAACAACGGAUCUCUUGGUUCUGGCAUCGAUGAAGAACGCAGCGAAAUGCGAUAAGUAAUGUGAAUUGCAGAAUUCAGUGAAUCAUCGAAUCUUUGAACGCACAUUGCGCCCCUUGGUAUUCCGAGGGGCAUGCCUGUUCGAGCGUCAUUGCAACCCUCAAGCUCUGCUUGGUAUUGAGCGUUCGCUCCCCCGAAUCGAAGGGGGCGGCGUGCUCGAAAACUAGUGGCGGUCCCGGAAAGACUUCAAGCGCAGUAAAGCCGCCGCUUCAGAAGGUUUCUGCCCGGGGCUCGGCCGAGAAACCGUACGAUUUCCAAUGAUUGACCUCGGAUCAGGCAGGGAUACCCGCUGAACUUAAGCAUAUCAAUAAGCGGAGGAAAAGAAACCAACAGGGAUUGCCUCAGUAACGGCGAGUG
rnacentral:rRNA from 1 species